rnacentral:lncRNA from 1 species
AGAGGCCCUCUACUCAGACCUAGAACUUCCCGGAGCCCCUAUAGUGCUCUCCUGCCUGUUAUGCUUCAGCUGCUUAGCCUCGUUAUUGGACGCCUGGUAGGCGCUGGCUAUGACUUGGACUGGCAUAGCCCGCAUCAGCGAAAGAUUGCCGGCUAAAGUGUUAAUCAUGGCAUUUUCAUCAGUCUUGAUCGCCACAUACUCAAAGCCUGAAUCCCUUGCUUUUAUCAACGCAGCGAAGUUCUGUGGAAUAACCAACACCUGACCCUGCUGGACUUCCUCAUUGGCCACUGUCUGGCCCUGCUGUUGCACUACUUGAAUCCUGGCACUGCCUCUUAUAGCGUAGAUUACACUAUUGGCAUUCACGUUGUAGUAUGGUAGCACCAAUGCGCCCUACACAUUUAGGCACCAAUAUUUAAGAUGAAUCCCUUCUAAUUUUCAGAUUUAUCACAAUUUCAUUUUGCAUGUCCCUUAUUCAGUAUCGUACCUGAUAUAGACGUCCUUUAUGAGCACUUAAUUUAACAAGCUUUUGGAGAACUGGAAGAUCAUAGCCGGUGACGCUGCUCCUGUGUCCACCUCUAGGUGUGUAGACAUCUGCUCUCCAUGGAUCACCGAUGUUUUGUUUGAGCCUCAAGCUGCAUAUGGUCUCUUCAUAGCCAUUUCCGCGUGCAUGGAGGUGAUCUUGCUGUUGCUCUCCUCGCUCCUGUUGUCCCCUUGGUGGUAACAGUGCCUGUAGGCCUCCCUCCACUCUCACUAUGUUGCCCCUCCUGUCAUUUUGGCCCUGAAGCUUCCUUAUGAGCUGGACAUCCACGUUAAAUGCCUCAGCCAACUGCUGUGCAUCGAAACCACUGAAGAUGUUGUCGCCGGAACUCUCUUGCCCUCUGCCCUCACUGCCGCCCCCUUCUUGCUGUUGCUGCUGGCCCUCGCUUCCUUGUUGUUGUUCUUGUUGUUGUUGCUGUUGCUGCUGAAAUUCAUUUUGUGGGUUGCCGGCAAGAUAGAAUCUCUACAAUGGGCAUAAUUAAAUCCUUCAGUUCGUAUUCUGAUCAUUCAUGUGUUUUGAUAUAGCUUUGUGCUAGUAUUACUCUACUUACUCUGGGUUGGAAAUCAAGUUGGUUGGCCUCAUUGCUGACGUCGAGGACAGAAACUACAACAAGCUGUCUGUUACCAUUGUUAUAGAUAUAAUGCCCAAAUCCGGUGGGCACUGCAAAAGCAUCACCCUCUUCGACCUCUCGGAUCUUCUGAUGUUGGUCUCCAAGGAAUUGCUGGCCUUGUUGUCCUUGCUGGCCUUGUUGUCCCUGUUGUCCUUGCUGCCCUUCCUGUUCUCUUCCUUGUUGCCCUUCCUGAGAUUCCUGGAAUGAUUGGAAGGUUUCAGGACAACCACUGAUCAGGAUUCCCUGCAAGCCUCUACCUGUAGAUAACACCCCAUUUCAAAUAAUUUACAUUUCAUCAAAGGAGCACACAAGCUAAGUUUUCCGAUAUAGCUUAAGAUUAUUACGUUACUAGUUAAGUGCUUUACCUUGGACGAAGUACAAGAGUUGAGGCGCAUUGACGUAGGAAGGCAAAAGCAAGCCGUUGGGUUCAAUAGUAUAGCGAACAACAGCCACACCCGCGCACUGGAAUUGCUCAUUGUUAUGAUCAAAGACCUCGGUCACACCGGCCUCUGACUGGAUCCGGUUGGAAGGUUUCUGAGCAGUGAGUCUAGAGAUGCUGCACUCAUUUUGCUGCCUAGACUUUUGCUGCCGAGCCGAGCAGUAAUUGAAGAGAAUAAGAAAGCAAAGCAAAAAGCAACAAAGACUCUUAGCCAUGGUAACACUGCAGAUAAGACUACUAAGCUGUUGUGGAGAAGCGGCGACUGGGAAUGGUGAGUAUAAAUAGUAGAGAAAGUGGGUUUAGAGCUUGACACGUAGGUGAUAGUUGGAAAAGCAAGCUUGAGACACUUCAAUUUGCAUGGCUCCUACACCCUUUUUGCUUACACCUAAUCCAUUCAAACAGAGCAUGCAGGUGGGCCUUUUGCUUUUACAGAAGGAUACAAAGAGAGAUUCGUUUACAUAUGAGGCCAUUUUGGAGGUUUUUGCAUGUAGUCAGUCAGUUGAUUUGGAGUUUAUUAUCAUCACCAUCUACUCUACCAGACAGCAUUUAUGAUGCUGCAGAGAUCAGGUGUAUGAGGAUAAGAUUGAUGAAGUGUGUAUGUUUCAUCCAUUAGUUUUGUGGGGUACUCUAUGGGAAUAUAUAUGGGCCAACAUUCAUGCUCAUGAACUUCCAACUUUUCUUUUCCAUCUAUUGGACCAUAUAUUAAAUCCUUUCAUCUGACCACAACAUUUCUUUGUAAAUUCUUAUCCCAUCUUGUCUUAUUUAUUUAUUUUAAUUAUUAAUUUAUAUAUAUAUAUAUAUAUAUAUAUAUAUAUAUGUUGCAUAAGCCAAUAUAUACCUUGAUGCAAUUAGUAAUUUCCUCCCAACAACGGUUUCUUUAUCCAUAUUUUAAUGAAAAAAGAAUAAGUUAUUUGACAAUAUUUGUGUAUAAUUUAGGAUUGAUGUUACUUAAAAAAAGUUUAUAGUUGAAUUAAAACAUAAAUGAAGGUAUAUCAAUAGUUUUUAUAAUUUACCCAAAUAUAUGUAAACUUGUAAAUAAAUUCGAUUUCAAUGGAAAUUUCUAUUUUCCACUUUCUUUUUCCUAUCUCUUUAAUGAGUAUAUCAAAACUAACUUUUUCUAAGCCCUACUAGAGAGGUAAAAAUGAUUUAAAAUCUAUAUUUUUCAAAAUUCUUAUAUAAGAAAUAAAAGGCCAUAUAUAUAUAUAUAUAUUAGAAAAAAGUGACCAAGAAAAUAAAUGAAAAAUACUAAAAAAAAUUACCUUCUCAGUUUCCUUAAAUAAAUGUGAAAAAUGUAGAAAAAAUGCAUUCUUUGAUAAUUUAUUUUUUUUUUCUCCUUGAUUUUUAAUGAAAAAUCAAAUAACAAAAAAAAUUAUAAUUUUUUUCUUUUAUUUUCUUUUUCCUAAAUCUUGAAGGAAACAAAUAUAGCCUUAAAACUUUUUAAAUUCUAAACUAUAGCUUGAUAUCCUUACAUUUACUUAAGAAUGAAUAUAUCAGUAAUCAUGAAUAUAUCGGUGCUUCGAAUUUACGAAUAUAUCAGAUAUAUAUCGAUGGGUAUUUUGACACAAAAUAUUGGUGACAUAAAAAUUAAUGAAAAUUCUAAAAAUCUUAAGAAAAACUCUAAAAAAAAUAUAUAAGAAGUAAUAAUAGAUAUUUUAAAGUUUUUUAUUAUAAAUAUAUAUAUAUAUAUUUGAUAAUAAUAUCCACUACGAGUGAAUAAAAAAAUAUAAUUUUAUAAGUGUACAUUUAUUAUUAAUUUGCAUUAUAUAUUAUUUUACAAUAAUAUUAUAAUAAAAUAUCUAAUUUUAAAAUAUAUUUAAUAUUAAAAUUAUGAUCCAUUUUAAUUUAAAAUAUUCAAUGAUAUCAAAUCAAUUAUAAUUUUUAUAUAUUUAUAUUUAUGUUUUUUAUAUUUAAUAAAUAUAUAAAUUAUAUAAAAGACCUACUAAGAAAAUUAUGUUUUUACAUUUUUGGUAAUAAAUUAAAUCAAAUGUAAAAAUAAAAUAAUUAUAAUUAAUUAAUUUAAUAUUUUUUUUUGAAAAAUCGAUGAAAUAUUGGUGAAAUAUUGGUAAAAUAUAUGAAAAUAUCAGUGAAAUAUCUAUUGAAACACGAAAAAUAAAAAAAAAUCGGUGAAAUAUUAGUAAAAUAUCUAAAAAUAUUGAUUGAUGGAAAUAUCUUUCCUAAUUUCAUAUCAAGAUCCAUGUAUAUUGAAUAUAUUGUGGAUAAAUUGACGAUAUAUCCAGAUAUUUUAAACCUUUCAUAUACUAUGACUAUUCAUCCACAAUUCUCAUUUAUGCGAAACGCAUUACGGAUUAUGCCUUUGUUCAAAUUCCUUACCUGUGAAAAUUUAAAUAUCGAUGAAAAUUUAAUGUGAAUGUCAGAAAGCCUUCUUAUCUUAUCUUGAUUCACGCAGUCAUCUAAGGGGGUUCAAUGAUUUUUCUUUUUUCAUCUUUUUUAGUUUUGUUAAUCAAUUCACAAUAUCCAUGAUAAUAUGAAUAAAUUAAAAUCUAACCACACCAUGCUAUACGUAGAAAAUCACCUACAAAAAUUCACAAAAACCCCCAUACAUAUAAAUAUUAAAAAAAUAACACAAUUGUAUUUGAAACCAGAUGCUACCUUCUCCAAUGGAACUCGCACUGACCAAGUCUAACAUUACUGACAGACAUAAUUAGGUUUUAAAACUUCAAAUCUUAAAUCUCACCAUGAGCAAUGUUGUAAGGGUGGAAAUGGUUCCUACUAAAAUUAAUGCUGUGGUUUGUUCUCCCUCCCUCAAAGUCUUUGUUGGAAAUUAAACUUAAUUUAAGAAAAUUUUAAAAACUAGAAUUAGAUUUAGUUUAAUUUAAAGAAAAUAUUUUAUUUUGACCGGUUAAUUUAGUUUUUAUAUUUAAGUAGUUAAAGUUUUCAUACUUUAAUAAUUAGAAGUUUUUAUAUUUUUAUUAUUAGAAGUAUUUAUUUAUACGAGAGUAUCUAUAAAUAAGAGAUUAUGUAAUACUUAAAUAAAAGUAAUUCUUAAUUCUUCUUAAUUAUUUAAAUUUCUUGAUGUAAUUAUUUGUAUGUUUCUUUCGGCACCCAUUACCCCAACAAACUUGUAUCAAAAUUGGGGAAAAAAGAUGAAAAAUGGGAUGUAUUUGUUUUAAGUCCCUAAACUCUAUAACGACAAUUAUGAUAAUCGGAGUAUCGAGAUGAAAGCUGUUUAGUUCAUAAAAUGCAUUAUAGUUUACAGAGAAAGAUUAUAAAAAGUUAGCAAAAUAAAAUCACUUGAUUCAAAAUCGAAAGGAUUUUUUAAAAGAUGUGAGGAAGAAAGACCAAAAAACUCAUAUCAUGGUCUAUCAAGAAAUAAUAAAACUACCUUUGAAAAGAUUUCAAGUGCAACUACCUUCCAAAAUUCUCUAAUUUUUACAAUAAUAUUUAUCUUCCUCUUGGUAAACGUUUUCAAUAUUUGCAUUUUUCUUUCAACUCUAUCACUCUCAAUUCUCUACCUAGGAAUUAGCCAAGAGCAUUUUCCAGUGAUUUUGGAUAAAUAUUACUGCAGAAGUAUUAUUAGUGUCAUUCUUAUUAAAGAGCAAAACCUCAACUCUCAUUGUACAUCAUGUGGUACAAAAAAAGCCAAGCAUUAUGACCUCUUAUUAUUCUCCGAUACCAAUGCAACAACCAAACCAAACAAACAUGAUGCAUUAAGCAGAAGCCCUAUACUCUGACCUAGAACUUCCCGGAGGUGCUAUAGUGCUCUCCUGCCUGUUAUGCUUCAGUUGCCUAGCCUGGUUAUUGGACACCUGGUAGGCGCUGGAUAUGACUUGCAAUGGCAUGGCCCGCAGAAGAGAAAGAUUGCCUGCUAGAGUGUUAAUCAUGGCAUUUUCAUGAGUCUUGAUUGCCACAUACUCAAAGCCUGAAUCCCUUGCUUUUAUCAACGCGGCGAAGUUCUGUGGAAUAAUCAACACCUGACCUUGCUGGACUUCCUCAUUGAACACGUUCUGGCCCUGCUGUUGGACUACCUGAAUCCUGGCACGGCCUCUUAUAGCGUAGAGUAUACUGUGGGCAUUCACGUUGUAGUAUGGUAGCACCAUUGCGCCCUACACAUUUAGGCACCGAUAUUUAAGAUGAAUCCUUUCUAAUUUUCUAAUUCGUCACCCGAUAUAAUUUUGUCCCUUAUUUAGAAAAGCAUACCUGAUGAAGACGUCCCUGAUGAGCACUUAAUCUAACAACCUUUCUGAGAAUUGGAAGAUCAUAGCCGGUGACGCUGCUCCUGUGUCCACCUCUAGGUGUGUAGACAUCUGCUCUCCAUGGAUCACCGAUGUUUUGUUUGAGCCUCAAGCUGCAUAUGGUCUCUUCAUAGCCAUUUCCGCGUGCAUGGAAGUGAUCUUGCUGUUGCUCUCCUCGCUCCUGUUGUCCCCUUGGUGGCAACACUGCCUGUAGGCCUCCCUCCACUCUCACUAUGUUGCCCCUCCUGUCAUUUUGGCCCUGAAGCUUCCUUAUGAGCUGGACAUCCACGUUAAAUGCCUCAGCCAACUGCUGUGCAUCGAAACCACUGAAGAUGUUGUCCCCGGAACUCUCUUGCCCUCUACCCUCACUGCCGCCCCCUUCUUGCUGUUGCUGCUGGCCCUCACUUCCUUGUUGUUGUUGCUGCUGUUGCUGGAAUUCAUUUUGUGGGUUGCCUGCAAGAUAGAACCUCUACAAUACACAUAAUUAGUUCCAUCAGUGAGUAUUCUGAUCAUUCACAUGUGUUUUGAUAUUACUUUGUGUUAGUAUUACUCUAGGUACAUACUCUAGGCUGGAAAUCAAGCUGGUUGGCGUCAUUGCUGGUGUCGAGGACAGAAACUACAAUAAGCUGUCUGUCACCGUUGUUGUAGAUAAAAUGCCCAGUUCCGACGGGCACUGCAAAAACAUCACCCUCUUCGACCUCUCGGAUCUUCUGAUGUUGGUCUCCACGGAAUUGCUGGCCUUGUUGUCCUUGCUGGCCUUGUUGUCCCUGCUGUCCUUGCUGGCCUUGUUCUCCUUGUUGUCCUUGUUGUCCUUGUUCUUGUUGUUCUUGACCUUGCUGAGAUUCUUGGAAUGACUGGAAAGUUUCGGGACAACCAGUGAUCAUGAUUCCCUGUAAACCUCUACCUGUAUGAUAACACCCCCAUUCCAAAUAAAUGAUUCCACAUCAAAACAAAGUAGCACCCUAGAUAAGUUCUCCGAAAUAACUUAACAAUUACUAUGUUGCUAGUUAAGGGCUUUACCUUGGACGAAGUACAUGAGUUGAGGCGCGUUGACGUAGGAAGGCAAAAGCAAGCCUCUGGGUUCAAUAGUAUAGCGAACAACAGCCACACCCGCGCACUGGAAUUGCUCAUUGUUAUGAUCAAAGACCUCGGUUACACCGGCUUCUGACUGGAUGCGGUUGGACGGUCUCUGAGCAUUGAGUCUGGAGAUCCUACACUCCUUUUGCUGCCUAGACGUUUGCUGCCGGCCCAUGCAGCACUGAAAGAGAACAAGAAAGCAAAGCAAAAGGCAGAGCCUCUUAGCCAUUGUAACACUAAUACUACUGAUAUGUAAGACUAGCGAAGCUGUUGUGGAGAAGCGGCGACUGGGAAUGGUGGGUAUAAAUAGUAGAGGAAGUGUGCUUAGAGCUUGACACGCAGGUGAUAGUUGGAGAAGCAGGCUUCAAACACUCUUCAAUUUGCAUGGCUACUAUACCCUGUUUACUUACACGUAAUCCAUUCAAAUAGAGCAUGCAGGUAGGCCUUUUGCUUUUACAGAAGGAUACAAGUAGAGGAUUUGUUUGUACACGAGACCCUUUUGGGGGGUUUUCAGGGUGGGCCACCAACCCAAACAGACACAAUUAAUGAUGGGGAGGGGUUGGAAGCAAGAUGACAAGAAAGAUAUUGUGGGUGUAGAUUCAGCCCACAGUUUUGUGGAGCCUGUGGGCGGCUUUGUUUGUUAAAAAUCUCCGCCCCAGAUCAGUAGUACCAUGACCAUCUACUUGUUAAUUUUUUCAAAAAAUUCUUUAGAUAACAAAUUACUUUAAUAUGAUAAGCAUCUAUGCAUGGUGAUUUAAGAAAGACCUCCAUAAAAUUCAGUUAGGAAGCAUAGAUAGAACCUUUACCAUGAUUCAUCGGCCUCUUAAAAGGACUUAUAUUAGGAGCAAUUAAGCUACUUUUUAACAAUGCAAAAAACUUUUUAUUGAAUUUCUAGUGUAAAUAUCCGUAGUUCUAUGAAAAGAAUUGAAGGGUUGCAUGAAUGUAAUGUACAUGUGGGGAAAUUAUUGGAAGGGUAAAGUAUUAGAAGUAAGUAGUUAUUAGAGAUGUUGAACAAGAGGAUUGAAGAAUUAAAACCAGGAGAAGGAAAAUCCUGAGUAACGACAAUAUGAAAAUUCUCUUACAGAUAGUCAUAUUAACCCUCUUUCUCUGCCGUAUGCAAGAGAUUUCUCAUAUUAAUUGCAAGUUUUUCAUGACAAUAUGAAAAAUUUUAUCCAUAUAUAGAGUAGUCAACUUGAAAUUUUCAUCUACGUAUAGAGUCUUCAAGUUCUCUUACAAAUUUUCAGUUAUGCCUAUGAACAACGCUGAUUUGUUGCUCAUAUGAUGUAUGUCUUAUUCUUCCUUGUAACGUCUAGUCAUUAAUCUUGCUUUAUUUCUUUAUACUUUUUUUUUUAAGUUUUCAUUGUCUUAUCGACAUAUAUUAUUCUAUUUACUUUUUUUCUUUCUUCCUUUUUUUCUUUUGAAAGAAAUCUAUGUUCUCAUGUGUUAUUUAUCCUUGUUAGGAAUGAUAAUGAGGUGUGUUUUUUUUUUCUCUUUUGAAUACUAAUCCUGUCCGAUCCCUAUUAAUGAGACAAAUUUAAAAUUAAAAUAAAUAGAUUAAGAGUGAAUUUGAGAUUUUCUUUCAAACUUGAAAUGGGCUCGAACAUUACUUUCCCCCUCCUAUUAUAUAUAAAAUUAAUUUUUUAAAAAUAAAUUAAUUUAAUUUUUUAUUUUCCCAUUUUAGUACACAUAAAACAAAAAAUAAUAAUUUUCAAUUAAAUAAGUUAUAAAAAAUUAUAGUAUUUUAAUUAUUUAUAAAAUAUGUUUUUUUAAUGCAUUAUUAUUAUUUUUUUAUGUAAAAAAAAGUUUUCAAUUGUUUUUUUUUUUUAAAUAAAUAAAUGGAAUGUGAUAAAACGAGUAUGAGAAAUUUACAUACUCAACCCAUCAUACCUUAUUUAAUUUUUUUAGAUGAUGAGAAUUAUUUUGAAUAAAUGAGAUUAGGUAAGGAUGGUGCAACCCUUCUUGAAUGUCCUAUUAUAAUUCAUAAUCCUUGUUACUUUUAUUUGCUCAUCCACAACAUUUUUUCAUUUUUUAAAUCUUGAAUUGCUUCUUCAAAACCUAUUGAUUCGUAAUUUAUGUAUAUAUAAAGCAAGGAUAAGGAAUAUCAUAAUUACCUUUUUUGGGCACUUCAAUCUCAUGUUUCUUCUUCAUUAAAACUAAUAUAUCAAUUAAUAAUAAUAUUUCUAUUGAUUGGAUUGUAUAAUUUGUGGCUUUUGAAGCUUUAGUUAUAACCAAUCAAAACAUAUUUUCUACUCUUAUCUCUUAUCAUCUAACUUUGAUUGCUUUUGAUUCGGCACAUGAACAUAUAUAAUACUUCUAAACAUUAUUAAAUGUAAAAUACCCAACUUGCUUCCAUUCCAAACUUAUUAUGAUGUUUUAUUUCAUAUACUUUGAUUAGGAGAAUGAUUUGAUAAAUAAAAAUUAAUUGUUUCAACCCAAAAUAUUCUAAGCAUCUUCCUACUUUUCAACAUACUUCAUGUCAUGUCAAGAAUUGCCCUAUUUUUUCUUUCAACUAUAUCAUUUUGUUAUAGAUAAUAUAGAAAUAUUAAAACUGACAAAUCUCAAGAUUUUUACAAUAUUAUUGAAAUACUUUUUAUGUAAAUUUGUCUCUUCUAUCGGAUCUUGUUUCCUUUGUAUUAUAGUCACUUUCUUUUUCAAUAGGCGAUCUAAAUUUCUUAAAAGGACAAAAUACUUCAUAAUUUUCUUUAAAAAAAACAUUCAUGUUUUUCUACUAAAAUCAUCAGUAAAAAGCAAAUAAAAUAUGAGCUCUAAGGAUUUCUUUGCUAUUGUAAUUUAUUCAUUUGGAAAACUUUUUCUCACAUGUUUUUCAACAUAAUUGAUUCAAUUGCUUUAUAGAAAGUAAUCCUUUUUAGAAUUUUCUUCUUGCUCAACAACUUUAAUCCUCCAAAAUUAGGACGAUCAAAGCUUAAGUGUCAAAUUUAAGAGGAAUUAUUGAUACAAGAUUUUAGACAUUUCAUUGCAUCAUUUUGAAUACUCAACAAAAACAUUCUAUUUCUUGUUAUGGACACAUUAGCAAUUAAAUUGGCAUGUUAAUAUUUUUUUUUUGAUCAGAAACGAAAAAGAUUAUAUUAAUAAAAGAACAAAUACAGAAGAGAAAAAAGAAACAAAAGAAAGAGAAAAAAACCAAGGGAAGGAUGAGAGGUCCUUCCUACACAAGAACCAAGGAAAACACCCAACAAUAGAAAUCUAAAAACAAAAGAAAACACAACAAACUUCAAACUCUUGAAACGCAAACCCCAAUCCAAUUGAUUUGUAGAAUGCUUAAAGGAACUCCUCUAAAAGCAUGUCAAUAUUUUAUUAAGAGACUUUGAUUUUUAAUAUGAAUAUUAUAGUCUUUUUUUCUAGGCACAUAGUAGAUAUUCGAGAUAGAUUGAUGUCUUCUACUUUUCAAACAAAUUAACAUUGUACCUUUACCUUUUAUUGAAAUUUUAGAUGCAAGUGACCACUUUUUGAUUUAUCAAACUUCAUAAACAUACUUUUGAAUCCACACAUAUGAUUGAUUGUCCUGGUCUUAAGAUAACAUGUAUUUUUCUCCUUAUUUUCUCUUUUAUUGCAAACAAUAAAGUAGGUUUUUCUUUAUCUUUCCUUUAACAUAGUUGGUUUGUCUUUUUAUAUUGCUAGUGACACAUUUAUAUUCAUAAACAUAAUAUUUUUUAUAAUUUUAACAUUGAAUUCGAGAUUUAUAUUAUAUUUUCCCCUUGGCCUUGCGUUGAUCCAUCUUCCACAUCCUCUUGAGAAAUACGAGUUUUAGCUUGUUCCUUCAUUGUUUAAUUAAUUAAAACCACUUUUCUCGAUCAUUAUUCGUUGCUAUCUCCAUAGAUUAUUUUGACUUCUUUCCUUCUUAAAUUUUUUUUAUAUUCUCUUUUAAUGUAGGCUUCGUUUGAAAAACUUGUUCUAAUUUUUUCUUGUUUCUUCUUUUUUAAUCUCUUCAUGAACUUGCAAUGAUCCUAUAAUUUGAUUAAUAGUCAUAAAAUCUAAAUUUUUAGAUUUUUCAAUAGUCAUAACAAUAUAAUCAAAUUUCAAAUUUAAAAGUUAAAAUAUUUUUUUCAAUCACACAAGUAUCAUUUAAACUUUUAGUAAAUUCACAAUAGCCAAUACUUAAAAUAAACAAAUAAAUAAUUGGAUAUUGUUUUUAAUUCUUUCAUAUUCAAACUUUUAAAUUCUUCUCUAAAAGUUUGAAGACACUUUUUAUACUCUAUCAACUUCAUUGUAUAUAUUUUGUAAUAUCUCCUAAGUUUCCUUGGUAAUGUUUGUAUUUAAAAUUCUCAAAAGUACCUUUAUCCAUUGUUUGAAACACACGAUGGAAAAACCUUUUUUUGUCUCUUUUCCUUAUAUAUUCCAAAAAAUCUCUUCAAUUCGAGGACAUAAUAGUUUUAUCUUUCGACUGUUUAUAGCCUUUUUCUAUAGCUCUCAUGUUGUAGCCUUUUUCUAUAACUUUUCAUGUCUGCUUCUUGUAAAUCAAGAAAAACAUUCAUCUUGAUCCUCCAAUUAUAAUAAUUGUCUUUAUUGAAUUAUGAGACUUUAAAUAGAAAUAUACUACUUGCCAUUUUUUCAUAUGGUAAUAGGAUUAAAAGAAAUACACAAAUAAUUGUAUAAAGAAAGAUAUAUAAUGAAAAGAAAAAGAAAAAUUAUCGUCUUCCAUGACUCUUAUUCAAGUAUUACAUAAUUUUUUAUUCAUACACACUCACAUUUAAUAAAAUAAAAACUCUUAAUAACAAAAUAUAUAAACUUUUUAAGACUUAACCACUUAAAUAUACGGAUGUUUGAUAAGUCAACUUACUGAUUUAAUAAAACUUAAUGUCUAAAUUUAAGUUUUCAAGCAUAUUAAGUAUGUGUAAAGCAACUUAAUAUUGUAACUUAAAACUAAAAAUGACUUUGCUAAAUCAACUUAAUAACUUAAUAUCACUUAAUAACUUAAGCAUAAGUAAACUUAAAGUCACAAGCCUCAAAUAUUAGGUUUUACCAAAUACCUAUGAAUCAUCCCUCAAAAUAAAAAAUUGUCUCUAACUUUUGGCUUCUGAAUCAAGCAGAUCGAAUGUUAAACAUAAUGAAUAGUGAAAGUUACACAAAAGAAAAAAGGAAAUGCAUAUAUUUGUGAAGGAAAAGAAGCAAUCACUUGAAAUAGACAUACAUGGGAACAGUGGGUUUGCUUCUAAAUCUAUAGAGAACCCUCUUCCUCUUGUAGGUACCAUUCUCAAUGGUUAUUACUAUCUUUCCUGGUUCACUAAUGUAAAAUGAAUUUCUCAUACUUUGUCCCAUUUUCUUAUCCUUUUCAAGCAAAAUUUUGUAUGAUCCUUCAUCUUCUGGGAUAAACUCCUCCUUGUAGUUCACGUCCCACCCCACUAUAGUCAUGUCCCAGACAACCGUCACCCCAGCCUAUAAUCAUCUCAAAACAAGAACCAAAUUAAGAAUAUUAGUACCAUGAGUGUUUAUAAAUGAAGUAAAACAUUCAGCUUUUAAAUUUAGGACAUUAGUUAAUGUUUUGAAAGUACCUCAGUGGCUGGAAUUUCGAUGCUUUCAAUGGUACCUGCUUUGACAAUUAGCUCUAGAGCUUUGUCAGCAGGUGAAAAUUCAAUGUCGUUCUCUCUUUUGAGGCCACCAUAUUGAACGGGAAGGUUUUCUGGGGCGAUAAACCUUUGGGUUUUGAAGCAAAUUUUGAUCAAAUUGGAGGGUUUAAUGAAUUAAUCAACAGAACUCAGAUAAUGAAACUACAGUAAGUAUUCUCACUUGAGAAGUGUGUCUGCAACUCCAGAUGGUCUCGCCAAGAUGAACUUGCUCUUUGUUCUUUGGCUUAUGAAUUUGGAAAUUAGCGUAUGGCUAGCAUAAUACCAAAAUGGAACAUUUAUGACGAUCUACAGGCAUAAUAUAUCAAAGUUUUUCAGUACUAAUUCAUGAUCAUCAUGGCGAGUUAGUCAUAAUUAUACGCUUACAUGUCUGAAGAUGAGCUCAGGAUAAUUGUCUUGAAGCAACGUUAUGGCUUUCUUGGUAACCAAACGAAGCUCCUUGUUGCUUGGUCGCGGGGAGUUCUUCAAGUCUAGGAUCUGAACCAUGGAGUCCACUCCACCAGCCGUGAAGUUAAGAUUCUGGAUAACCUUUUCCAUGGACUGAACCCUCCACCUCAAGAACUCUUCACAUUUGGCUUCUGAACCAAAUGUUUUCUUGUAAAAGUCUCUGUCCUUGAAAGCCCCACACACAUUGUAACACAAAGGGUGACCUUCUUUAUCAGUGCUGUUUAUGUACACAACAUUUUCAAGCUCAGGGCCGAAGUUUUCUUCGAGAAUUCCUUCGGUUUUGAACUCCCUCCGCCAUAUCAAGGUUCUUCGGAGCAUGUUGAAGGCCUCGCUGACCUUAAAAUCUCUAGCUUUCAAGAACUUCAAGAGGAUAAUGUCCGUGCCUUCGUGGCCUUUACUAGGAAGUAAGGGCACACCCCAGAGGGAGAUAUCAUGAAGAUUUUCUUGAGUUUUCUUGCUUUCAGGGACUUUUCCACGGGGUUUUCCGAGCAUAUAAUUCCCAAUAAUAGCAUCUUCCACUCUGCAUCGGAGCUCUAACAAGGCUUUCUUCUUCGACUUUUUCAUUUGGAUGGAGGCCUUGUACUCCUGUUCAGGGCUCAUGGGUUUCUUCAUUUCAGUAUGGGAAUUGCUUUCAUCAUCUGGGUUCAUGGAUUCAGCAUCUUCUAGAUGAAUUUCUUGGUGUUUAUGGGUGUUUUCAUUCUCAUUUGUCUCGUCAGAGAUCUGGCUGCACUCUGCCAUAUUGGGGCUCUUUCCGGUGAGAAUUCCGGCUUCCAAAGGGAGGUGUUGCCGGAAACCUGAUGCCUGGAGAAAGUUUAGGGGUUCUAUGAUUUAUUUAGAGACUGAGCGUGUGGAAGGAGAGGAGGAGAGAAUUGGGUAAAAAGGAGCUUGGUUGGGGGAUGUAGCUAAGAUUGAGAUUUGAAAUAGUGACCGUUAGUUGAUAGCCAAAUAAGGGGUUUUGAUGAGGUGUUACCAACAAACUGUUGGACAAGAAAGAAAAAUUUGUGGUUGCAAGGGGUUGGAUUAAAAGGUGAAAGUUCAUCCAAACCAACCCUUUUCCUUGAGAUAAUCCCACCGACCGCCUCCCUUAGGGAGAGUUAAAGAUAGAUUACAAGACUAACGGAUAAACUACUCAAAAUUCAAAUUUUGAAAUAAUAUUUUAAUUUAAUAUUUAUGUCAAUCAUCCUCUUGAGGAAAGAAAAAGAAAAUGGGUGGUUAAACAAGAAAUAAAAUAAAAUAAAUUCUCUUAGAUAAAUGGCCCAUUAAUAAGAAAUUGAAAUUAGAAAAAAAAACCAUUUCAUAUCUCAUUUAUUACAUGUUUGAAUUACUAGUUAGUAAUACAACAAAGAAUAGGAAAUUCAUUUUUAUGAUGGUAUUGUAGCUCACCUUUUGUUCCCUUCCUAUUUCUGCCUUUGAAUUGGAAUAGAAAAUCAACAGAGUGAAGGCAUCCUUGGACGUAUUUGGCAUUGAGGGUUCAAGCCUCAAUCCCUCACCAAUACCCACCUUUAAGAAAUGUGUAUAUGGCAUAUACCACCAACCAUCAUAGCAUUUUGACAGACAGUUGAGGCAUGAUCAUGGGGCUACAAUAAUGUUCAUUUUAAUGGUGAAGUGCAUCAAAUCUUACCAGCUCAGUUCGGCCAUUAUCAUUCAUUUUAGGAGUUGAUGAUUAGAGAGUGAACCCACUAUGAUUCUCUAGAGUAUGACUUGAGGUUUCCAGCAUCAUCCCUAUCACACAAAUCUGUAGGCUCCACAGAGAAAGGCAUAAAAUGCAAGUUUGAUUAUUGCACUAUUGUAUUGCAUAUUGAGAGGAUGGUGAGGUAGAAUUAGUUCGUAGAGGUAGAAUCAGUUCAAUACAAAUAAAUCUAACUUGUAUUGCAAGAGAAACAGUAUCCACUGCCCUACUGCUAUAAGGAUUAUCUACUCAUAUUUACAGUAAAGCAAUGUUAAGGGUACAAGCAUCCUACCUAUUAACAUGACAAAUAGUUUUAACCUGAAGCCCAGCCUCCAGCGAGGAGGCGUUCAUGCUUCUCUAUAAUUGGUCAGGUCAAAUGUCAGAGUUCUCGAGCAGCUGCAAUUAAAUAUAGGUAUUAGCAUUGUCUCUGCUUAGCAGGUUAAUUUGGUGGACAUACUGGAAAACAACCCAGAAAGUAGCACCAAAAUGAAAACGCAUUAACUAAAUAUAAUAUCAUGAAGAAACUUACCCCCUAUCAGAGUCCCUGUAAACCCCAACCAGAGCUUCAGCCUUGUCAUAAAAGCUAUCCUUCAGUGAUAUCACGAUACUCUGAAAACCACUGCCUCCCUCACCAUCCUGAUUACCCCUUGCUCCUUCACAUGAUUUUGAUCGGAUGAAUCCAGCAACCUUAGCAACAUUCAGAUUGUCCAAUGCAGCAUCGACUUCAUCCAAUAUAAAAAAAGGAGAAGGCCUAUAACUGAAACCACCCAUGGAUAAAAAUAAUAAUCCUAUUAGCCAGUUAUUCAACUUUUGCAGAUCAAAAGAGCAAUCUUUUUUUGAAGGCAAAAGGAAAUAUAAAUUAAUAGCGUCUAAGCAAAAGGCUCAUAAAGCACACAAAUGUAUACAUUUGUCACCAAAACAGGCAAGCAAGAGGGGAGAGAAAAAAACAAAAAACAAACCCCCUCUACUUUGAGCUAAGUUAAUCUACAAAGUCUACCAUAGUCAAAAGAGCAAUCUUGUUCACUCCUCACAUAAAUAUGCCAGCUUUUUCCUCCAAAAUUUUAUGCCACCAUUAAAAUUAUCUUCACGAGCAAAUAAACUUGUUCAAGUAAGCAACUUAAGUGUAUGCCUAAAGAGCAAUCUUUUUUACUCCUCACAUAAAUAUGCCAGCUUUUUCCUCCAAAAUUUUAUGCCACCAUUAAAAUAAUCUUCGCAAGCAAAUAAACUUAUUCAAGUAAACUUAAAUGUAAGCCUUUUAUGAUGCUCAUAACAGCAAAAACACAUUUGAGAGAAUUAGCAAGUAAAGGGAAGUUAGAAAAGGUGUUAGAUUGAAUUGAGUGAGUUAAUGAUUAUAGGUCCAAAUCUAACCCCACUAGGUUAUUAAACAUGUUUUAGAUAACCCUCACCCAGACCCAAGGACAUGGAUGGCAGCUUCUAAGAAUUCUUCACAGAAAUUCCCAGCCUUCUUUAGAAAUUAAACAAAAUAUUUCAAGACAUGUUAUUCCUGCAUCCAGAGUAAGGUUUGUCCAAAACAUACAGAAAAAAUGUUUCUUGUAUUCCUUGACAUACCUAUGGAUAGAGAAGAGCAAUGCAAGUGCUGCAACAGUUUUCUCACCACCAGACAGCUGUUCCAUAUCACGGAAGCGCUUUGUUGGGGGCAUAGCAGUGUACUUGAUGCCAUGUAAGAAAGGAUCAUCCUCAUUUUCUAAGUUCAAAUAUGCCGUUCCGCCCAAUGGGUGUGUGUUGCUUUUUGUUAGCUGUUUGUAGAUCUUAUCAAUAUUACCAGAAAUAUGACUAAAUGCUUCCAUAAAGAGUUCAUACCUGUAUUCACCACAAAUAAAUUCAGCAGUUUCAUUGUUCAGAAACCAUAUAACACACAUGCACAAAGAUGCAAGACAAUGAAUGUCAGAUUUCAAGGAUGAUUUGUUAAACAGGUAAAAAUGAUUGCCUUCACAUGUAUUGAACACAUUAGUCUGUUUGAAUGGAAUAAUAAUAAACAUGUAAAGACUAAAUCUUGAACUAUUGAGAAGCUAAUAACCCAACUAUAAGGUUUUUUCCUCACCAAUCUACAUAUUUUUCCAGCUUGACAUGCUAGAAUUGGAAGAUUCACUUGACAAAUAAUUUUUUACAAGAAAUUUUUAUCAAUCAUUUCAUGUAUAUCUUGCUUUUGUCUUAACAGUUUUAAGAAAUAACAAGAUGCAUUCCCACUUUGUUUGUUAUUCACUAAGGGCGUGUUUUGAAUGAUGGAAUAGAUGAUGGAAUGAAACAUCCAUUCCAUUCUCAUUCAUCACUAUGGAUUAUCUAUUAGAAAUGGCACAUGGUAUUAUGAUUCACCUGCAUCCUGUUCUAAUUUGCAUUCCUAUUCCCAUAUACAAAAUGCAUCCUAAAGGGUUUUCUGCCAAACAAUAAUCAGUACCUUCUCUGCUUAACGGAAUUGUACUUAUCAGUUAUUUCCUUCUCUUCCUUUCUGGCUACUUCAAACUCUUCAGUUACAUGUCUUUCCUUCUCUUGCAAAGCCUCAUACUGGUCCAAGGCCUUCAAAUUUGGAGCUGUUCUUUCUAUUUCUGAUAUUAGGGCAUCCAUUUUUUGCUUAAAUUCCACUUCAACCUUCUCUCUUUCAGAAGGUCUCAUAUCUACCUGAUGAGAUCUAUUUAGCUGACUAAAAUCAAAAACUGGACUUGGCAUUGAGGAUCCGAUUUCCAUUGCGUCUGAGACAGUAGGUAGGAUUAUAUGCUCUACUUCACACUUCUCCAAGAUCUCCUGCUUCUGCAAUUUCAGUUGUUCACCCUGUGUUUCCUGUAGGUAACAUGAACAAGCAUAGCCACAUUAUAGUUCAUCAAUGCAGCAAUGACUAGUUCAUAAGAAUCUUGUGGUAAAAAUAACAUUUAAUUCUGGAGAACAACCUUCAAACUUAUCUGACGAUUAAGUUUGCUUAUGCUUCCUGCAGCAGUAGAAGCCCGCUUCUUCCACUUCUGGAUUUCCUUCUCACACUCUUCGGACUUGGACUUCCACUCUAUACAAAUAGAAAGAGGAGAAAAAAGUUCCACAAAGAUGGCAUCAAAUUAUUUAUAUUAUGAAAAGAAAAAAUAUUAAGGAAAAAUUAACAAUGGAUCAGUUGCAUAGUGCUUUGCUACACUAUGUUAUAGAUGCAUAUUUUCAUAUUUCAGGUACAAUUCAGUAAUACUAAUGAUAACCUUUUUUUUUUAGUGAGAAUACUCAUGAUAACUUUUCCAAGAUAAUCUUUUCUGUAUCAGAGCAUAAAUUUCAAUAUGGCCUCAGAAAGGUCAACACGACCAGGCAAUGCCAGGUACCUAGCUACAAGCAUAUUUUCAGCACAAAAUACAAGCUAAGAGUUGUUGACUCUCCAACUCCUUGAGUAGGGUCUCACAUAGCUUAUUUUUUCUACUGUCACAAAUAUGGUGCUCAAUUAAUAGUAAAGAAGAAUAAUCAUGUACCUAGAUAAGAGCAUACUUACGGCACAAAAUACAAGCUAAGAGUUAUUGACUCUUCAACUCCUUAGAGUAGGGUCUCAUAUAGCUUUUUUUUUUUUCUACUGUCUCAAAUAUGGUGCUUGAUCAAUAGAAAAGAAGAAUAAUCAUUUCUUCAUGAUUCGUGGCAAUCCUACCCAGAUCAAUCUUGCCCAGAAGUUGAACAGGAUAGCCACAAUUAAGCUUUACAUGCCUCUGGGAAAGGCUUCCAAAACACAGAACAAUGCACACAUCUAUGAGAAGAAGCUGCACACCAAUCCCUAUAAAUAGGACCCAAGGACCAACCUCCAAAACUUGAAACACUAACAUCCAAAGAGAAGCCAAAAGGUUCAUCCUAUAACACAAAAGUCCCCUCAAGACAUCGUCUAAUGGCAAUCCCUCAUUAUCAAGCUGAAAUUGGAUGAGAUCGCCUAACUAACACACAGAGCUUGCACCAGAGAGCUUAACAACCUCAGCCCCACAGCAAGGAAAAUUGAGUAAUGAAGGAAACAACAUUCCACUAUCUCUUCUAUAUUAUAUAUAUAUAUGUAUGUAUGUAUGUAUGUAACUGAAGAAAAGACCAAGGCAACCACAAAUCUUCCGUAAACCUAAUCCAGAACCCAUCUGCCAAUAGAAAUUUGGUAUGAGAAAGGAAAGAUAACACAUCUAGAGAAAUGAACCUCUUGAGGACUGCACUAAUUCUCUCUAUCCACCACCAUAGCAUCCCACCCAUCCUCUUGAAGGCCAUACUUGCUUUUGACUAGUUACUACUGUAAGGAGUUUGGUUCAAUAGAAAAUCUCCCCAACAAGUUUGAAGUCAUGGUGAUAUUCCUAUGAAUCAAAUCAUCAAGACUAAAAUCACCUUUUAUUCUUGGGACAGGAAACCACCUUCCAACAAAUGAAAUGAUCCUUUCAAUCCUCACUAUGCCCUGCCAAUGAAAACUCUCUAAAUCUCUCAAUUUUCUAGGUCAUUUCAUCGGCAUCUUGAGUAAGGGCAUGCAAGCAAUCGUAAUUGCAACACGAGUGAACAAAAGUGGAUUGCCCCCUUUAGAAAUAAAAUUCUUUUUUUCCAAAUAAAAAACUAUAUCACAUUGGCAAAGGAAUCCAAUUAAAUCAAUAACAAGUUAUAAAAUAUAUAAUAUACACCACAAGUGGAUACCCUAUACUAAUCAUUUUUAAAUUCUUCAAUAGAUUACAUUUUUCCUUCCUUUUAUCUUUUCGAACUGUCUUCCAAAUAUAUGGACGCUAGACCAAUAGACCUAGUUAAAAUCAACCAGUCUGCAACAAUUGAGUAAGGCAAAUCCAUGUCUUAAGAAUUUCAGUUGCAUGGUUAUUUAGUUGUACUACUCGACCUCUUAAAAUAAAUAAUAAAAAGUAAAAUUACAAUUAAAAAGAUAAAACAUAAAAUAAGAUAAAUUGGCACCAUCCCAGAUGCAAAAAUUAGAAAAUAGAAGCAAGAACAGAUAAAAUCAAAUGUAGAACAAAUGAACCAAAUAUAAUUUAUGUUAAAGAAGUAACUCACACACACAUGCUCCAAGAUUUAUUCUCCGAGCAACCAUACAAACUUUGUAUAAGAACAUGAAUUGAAAUUGCACCUUGUACUUCAUCUUUCAAUUGAUCAACAUCACCAGUAGCUUUCUCCAUUGCUAACUUGGCUUCAGCCUCUUUCUUCUGAACCUGUUUCAGAUCAUUUUCUAAAGAACUGAUAGAAGAUUCCAGCUUUGUAAUUCGUGAGUCCAUGUCCCUCCUUUGCUCAUACUCCAACCUGGCAGAAAAGGGAAAAAUAAAGGUCCAAAAUCAUAUAAAUCUGGGACUCAGGCAAACGAAUAGUUGUUUACAACUCUGCUAUACAGAAAAAUAAAAAUACAAAAAUCAUAGGUUGAAAACAUUGGAAUCCAACAUAAAGACUCCUUUUGAAACUUUCAGAGAUACAUGAUACUCUGAAACUGACCAAAGAAAUGCAACCAAGAAAGAUAACAAAUUAAACUUAAAGUUUCAAGAACAAAGAGAUUGGAGAAAUCAACAAAUGUUGCGGCAGUAAAGUUUCUCUUAUGGAAGUUUUAUGUUAAAGGAAUCUUGACAACAGCAUUACAGCUCCUGCUUCUAACUAGAGACUACUGAUCAUACGGUUUACACUUUUGUACUGAGAGUAAUGAAAAAAAACACAAUAACACACUGAUAUUACUACAAAUAUAGCAGAAGAACUGAUUUAAAG